UACGGGGGGAGCAAGCGUUGUUCGGAAUUACUGGGCGUAAAGGGCGCGUAGGCGGUUCGUACAGUCAGACGUGAAAUUCCUGGGCUCAACCUGGGGGCUGCGUUUGAUACGUGCGGACUUGAGUGCGGAAGAGGGUCGUGGAAUUCCCAGUGUAGAGGUGAAAUUCGUAGAUAUUGGGAAGAACACCGGUGGCGAAGGCGGCGACCUGGUCCGAUACUGACGCUGAGGCGCGAAAGCGUGGGGAGCAAACAGG
rnacentral:rRNA from 1 species